UCUUGGAAACAGGUGCUAAUACCGCAUAACAGUUUAUGCCGCAUGGCAUAAGAGUGAAAGGCGCUUUCGGGUGUCGCUGAUGGAUGGACCCGCGGUGCAUUAGCUAGUUGGUGAGGUAACGGCUCACCAAGGCCACGAUGCAUAGCCGACCUGAGAGGGUGAUCGGCCACACUGGGACUGAGACACGGCCCAGACUCCUACGGGAGGCAGCAGUAGGGAAUCUUCGGCAAUGGACGAAAGUCUGACCGAGCAACGCCGCGUGAGUGAAGAAGGUUUUCGGAUCGUAAAACUCUGUUGUUAGAGAAGAACAAGGACGUUAGUAACUGAACGUCCCCUGACGGUAUCUAACCAGAAAGCCACGGCUAACUACGUGCCAGCAGCCGCGGUAAUACGUAGGUGGCAAGCGUUGUCCGGAUUUAUUGGGCGUAAAGCGAGCGCAGGCGGUUUCUUAAGUCUGAUGUGAAAGCCCCCGGCUCAACCGGGGAGGGUCAUUGGAAACUGGGAGACUUGAGUGCAGAAGAGGAGAGUGGAAUUCCAUGUGUAGCGGUGAAAUCCGUACGAUAUAUGGAGGAACACCAGCGGCGAACGCGGCUCUCCGGUCCUGUAACCACG
rnacentral:rRNA from 1 species